rnacentral:rRNA from 1 species
AUACCCUAUUAUUUUUAUGGUAAAUUAAUAAACUAAAGUAUUAAUAGAUAUGAUCUUAAAACUUAAAGAAUUUGACGGUAUUAUAAUCUAUUUAGAGGAGUCUGUUAUUUAAUUGAUAAUCCGCAUUGAACCUUACUUAUCCUAUGUUUUUGUAUACCGCUGUUUGAGAAUAUAUUUUUAGAUGAUUUUCUGAAUAUGAAAAUAUAUAAUAUUUCAAGUCAAGGUGCAGUGGUGGGUAAGUUUAAUAAUGGACUACAAUAAAUUGUAUUUAUUAUGGAUAAUUAUUGGAAAGUAAUUUAAAGGUGGAUUUAAUUGUAAUUUUAUGAAGUUUGUUAAAAUGAUUUAUAGUUCUAUAAUAUGUACACAUCGCCC